AGUGAACGCUGGCGGUAGGCCUAACACAUGCAAGUCGAACGGCAGCACAGGAGAGCUUGCUCUCUGGGUGGCGAGUGGCGGACGGGUGAGGAAUACAUCGGAAUCUACUCUGUCGUGGGGGAUAACGUAGGGAAACUUACGCUAAUACCGCAUCCGACCUACGGGUGAAAGCAGGGGACCUUCGGACCUUGGGGGAUUGAAUGAGCCGAUGUCGGAUUAGCUAGUUGGCGGGGUAAAGGCCCACCAAGGCGACGAUCCGUAGCUGGUCUGAGAUGAUGAUCAGCCACACUGGAACUGAGACACGGUCCAGACUCCUACGGGAGGCAGCAGUGGGGAAUAUUGGACAAUGGGCGCAAGCCUGAUCCAGCCAUACCGCGUGGGUGAAGAAGGCCUUCGGGUUGUAAAGCCCUUUUGUUGGGAAAGAAAUCCAGCUGGCUAAUACCCGGUUGGGAUGACGGUACCCAAAGAAUAAGCACCGGCUAACUUCGUGCCAGCCGCCGCAGUAA
rnacentral:rRNA from 1 species